UGGAUGGAUGGAUGGAUGGAUGGAUGCAUAGGCAGGAGAGAGGGUGAACAGAUGGCUGAGGGCAAACAGAUCAUGUGAACACCCAUGCUAAAGGAUGGCUGGAUGGUGGGAGCACUAUAGUAUGGUGAUGGCUCAUUGGCUGGUACAUGUCGACAUCCCUUUAGGGUCUGAAAAGUAGUGUCACCAUGGUUAGAAGUUUAAAAGUAGAAUUCCUUCAAACAAGUCAGUAACUAAUGUCACCAAAUAGCACAUGGAGACCCUGAAGCCCAGAGAAAUGGCUUAACCAAGCUUGUAGGGUCAGGUAGUCACUGUGGUGAGUCCUGAACCUAGUCCCAAAUUCCUUCCCACAUAUCCUCCUGAGAUGUGGGACCUAACUGGGCCUGGACUGACUGAUUCCUGAAGGCGAGAGCCCUGUUCGUGCCCUCAGGCCAGGUCUAGCAUCUCCAUGUGUUGUGACCACUAACUGGCCUGAAGCCAUGGCUGCCUUUCUCCCGGCCACAGCCAUUUCCUGAGCACCUAUUGUGUCCCUGAUGCAGGAUAGACCAUGACAGAUCAGAGUUGGAGUCUUGUGGUUCCUCACUUUAGGGGACCCCCUCAUGUGUGUUUAUAUAGCAUGAGGCUAGAAUGGACGCCACUCAAGACUGUUGGGCUGGGAGUCAUUGCUUCCGGAGUUUGCCUCCGCGUCUCCAGCCUUGUCCGUUUCCUGUCUCUGUGUUCCACAAGUCAACACUGGUAUAGUGGUUCCGGCAGCAUCUGUAGGUGGAUGCAGGCAUGGUGGGAAUCUCAGAGGAUGGCCUCCUGAAGAGCCUGUCUUGACUCGGCACAGGGGUGUUGCUAGGCUGUGUCUAAAGGCUGGGCCAGGGAGCCUGGGAGAUGUUUAACUUUGAAAAAUAGACCUUCACAGCUCAUUAGGUCCCAGCCUCUCGGCCCGGUGCCUCGGGCAGCUCGGGAAUGGGAGACGGCAGGGCAUGAAAUCGCUGAGGUAUUUAAAGGCCGAUUCUGCAUUCUCCACCAGUGGUGUCUGGUCCGCCAGGCCCCUGGCAGGGCUGUUGUGUCGUGCAGAGUGGGGCAGGGUGGCUGAUGGAAUUUCUGGGUUGCUGUGUGUGUGAGUGACCUCACUGACCCAGGUGAGACACUCCUAAGUCUUGACCUCUGACAAGUCAGUUCUUGAUUCUGAGCCUUGGUUUCCCCAUGUCCACUAAUGCCUGUGCUUUUUUUUUUUUUUUUUAAAGUCACGUUAGCCCAGGCUACCCCAAACUCCCUAAAUACCUCAGGAUAGUCUUGAACUCCUUACGUCCCUUCCUUUGCCUUCUGAGUGCUAGAUGACCGGCGUUAUUAUUAUACUGGGUUUAUAUGGUGCUAGGAAUGGAACCCAGGGCUUCAUGCUUGCUGGGCAAGCACUCUACCAGCUGAGCCCCCAUCGCCUCCCUACCCUCAGAAAUGGAAACUAGUUUUGAGCUUGCCCCUAAGGGACUCUGCAGCUUCUCAAGGGUAUUGUGUUUUAGGCCUGUUCCUGCCCCUUGAUGCAGGGGACCCCAGGAUUUGAAUAGCAUCAGCCAGCACUCCUGCUAGAUUUCCAGGCUCUCAGCAUGGUGAGGGCUGCAAGCCCAGGCUGGGCUGCCGGGAGGUUUGAGGUUUCCCUCAGUCUUGGAUGUUCAUUCAUUGUCCAUCCUAGGGCCAGGAGGAGGGACUGUGCUGGGAGGAGGAGGCUCAUUUGCAUGGAGGCUCAAAGAGACAGCCAAGAAAAAUCAGACCUAAUCAUUAGAGGUGGCUGUGGCCACCGGGCUCUAAAUUGCAUUAGGAGGCUUCUGGUCUUCAUUGAAUGUAUCGGAUGCAAAGGCAGAAGCAGGAAGAGCUGGGCGGGUGACCUGCCUGCCUGCCUGCCCACCCCCUCGGCUGCUGCUUCUGGCUGGAAGCUGGGUGGGGAGGCUCUAGAGCCCUCCCCCAAUGCCUGCUUCUCAAUCCCCACCAGCUCCUGUAAGAUUUUCUCAGGGCUCUGUGACCUUGGACCAGUUACUUUCCUUCUCUGGGCUUGUUUCCUUAAUUAGAAGCUAGAAAGGCUGGUUUCCUGAGUGCCAAGUUCAAGGAAGUAGAAGCCUAGGAGGGGGUCUGAGACGCUUCAGGCGGCUUCCUUUGGCUCUGUAGGGAAGAGGAAAGAUGCUUGUGAGGGCCUGUGUGGCCCCUUUGUCUGCACCAUGAGCUUCAGUUUUACCCUGAACCUCAGUUUUGUUGUCUAGGCAAUGGGUAUAGCUCAGUUGGUAUAGUGCCUAGCACAGCAUUAACACAGCAUGGUAGCACGUCAUCCCAGCACUCGGGAUGCAGAGGAACUCAGGAGGUCACCAUGGAUCCUCCUUGAGGGGUUACAGAGCACCCAGGAAAUGAUCUAGAAGCAGACUCUCUUCUGGGGGUUCUGGCUUGGAGCAGGUGUGGUUUUCUCUUCCUUGUGGGGUCCCAGAAGCCCCUGGGAUGUGGAUGCCCAGGUUUGGAGCUAGAUAUGGCUGGAAGGUUUUUUUUUUCAGAACCCAGGAGAGCCUGGCUCUGUAGAAAUGUGUCCCGGGGAGGCUCCAGGGAGGCCUGUAUCCUCCAUCUGGGCAGAUGCUUCUGUGGUGGGUGACGAAGGCUGGUAGGGCCCCAGUGGUAUGUGCCAGCCUGCACGUGUGUGCCAGGGAAGCUUUGCGUGCACAUGUGUGUGCUAACAGACUCUGUGCAGUGUGUACAUAUCUGUGGUCACCCCGUGGGGCCACUACCCUAUAUGACCACGGAGAGUCAAAUAUCCCCGGACAUGUGCUUUUCCACUCCCGUGUGCUCACAUGCAGCUGUGUGCACCCCGCGCUUGCUCCCCCCUGCUCGUCCCCAUGGCAACCCCAGCAGUGUGUCCUGGUGAGACAUAGAGCAGGUGUCGGGAGAUCUCUGUUGGUGCUGGGGAGUCAAAAAGGGAGGGGCUCCCCAGAAUGGGCAGGGCGUCUGAGGUUCUUGGGCAGAGGCUUUGGAUUUAGGAGAAUCUUCUGGAAGCCCCUCCAUCUGUGAUUCCUACAGGAUGAGUCACAGGCCCAUCUGGUCAGGAUUUAGUAUUGUGUGGUCCUUGGCGACAGAUUAGCAGCAUGUUAGGGGGGCUCGUCCCCAUUUUCUGGGAAGGUAAACUGAGUUUUGAAGCUGGUGACACAGUGGAUCCUCGGGCAGCCCAUGACAUGGGUCCUUACUUACUCUCCCUCUCUCACUUCCGUGGAGAGAGAGGAAGGGGCAUGCCCUCCCUCCCCCCGCUCCUGUUCCAAGAAUGGGUGGAGUGGGUGGAGCCCUUGCCUUAAAUCCCAGCUACCCAGUGGUUCAAUGCGUCUUUUGCCAUUUGGCUGAUUGUGGGAGAGCUCUGUCUUGAGACCUAUGGCUCAGGCCCUCCCCACCCGCAUGUGAAGUCAUCCAGCUCGGGCUGGCAGGGUUCCCAUGGCAACAGCAGUGACGUCACAAAGGCUGGAGGAGGACAGCUGGAGGGAGGUGUGGGGUGAGGCCGAGGAGGGGAUUCCUGCCUUCUCUCAUGCUCUGACCACUUGUUACCAAGCAGGCAUGGGGAAUAAGUCCUGGAUGUUCCCCCACACCCCUCAGAGGUGGAAGGAGUUAGGGACAUCCUCCUGUCCAGGUGCCAAGUCCCUUUGGGAGUGAGGAGGUGGGCGUGAGCCUCAGAGGCAUAGAUGUCACGGUCACCUGGCCUGAGUAACUAGCUGCUCUUGCCAAAGUUGGAGUGACAGCCUUCAAGGGCCUAUGACUGUACAGGUCACCACCAGCUGUCCCCGUGGGGGCCUGGGAUCUGUACCUGAGUUUUUUCCUCAUUUUUAUUAUGUGCGUGUGAGUGUGUGUGUGUGUGCACGCACAUGUUUGCACCUGGGCACAUAGCGUGGUGUCCCUGUGGAGACCACAGGUCAACUCCCAGGAGUCUGUUCUCAGUUCUCUCCUUCCAACACACUGGGUCCUGAGAUCAAACUCAGGCUUGGUGGCAAGGGCUUUUACCUGCCGAGCCUUCUCUCCGGCUGCGCUCUCACCUUUAAGACAGGGUCCCUUGUAGGCCAGGCUUCAGCUGAGGAGAACCUUAAACUUUUGAUCCUUCCCUUUUCCUCCCAAGUGCUGGGACUGCGGUACGUGCCAACGCACUGGGUUUAUGCAGUGCUAGGCACGGAAUGGGCUUCAUGCGUGCCUGGCAAGCACUCUGCCACUGAGCCACAUCCUCAGCCUGCACUGGAGUCUCUUGGUCUCUCUUUUAACUUGACUCGGUUGACUGCUCUGUCAAGCUCUACAUCCAGACAUCCAUGAUAGUAGCACUGGGACCACUGGGCGCCCCCUGCUGGGCAGGGACAUACCAGCUUUCUGCUCUGGUGGAGUUGAGCCCAGGCUAGAGCUAUAGAAAGGCACAGGCCUGCAGCCCCUUCUCAUCAGGUCUUGACCACUGUCGCUCCGUGUAAUAGCUCCAGAUGUGGUCCUGGGAAAAGCUGAGAGCCCAGUGGACUCAUGAGAGGUCUCAGGUUUGGCUUUCGGGCUGCAAGCCUGGUGCUGUCAGCAUCCCACAGUGCUCACGAAGCAUUGGUUCCCGCAGCUGACUGAGUGCCUCAAUCUUGCUUCCAUGGCUGUCGUCUCCAAGCCAGAAGAGGGGCCAACCUCUCCCUGGGCUGCACCCUUCAUGAUCAGAUUCCCAGGAGGAAAUGACAUCAUCCUUCCUGGAACCUCCUUGGUACAGUCAUCAGUAUCCUCUGCUGUGAACACGUGUGGGCAUCUCUCAGCAUCCUGCAGCCACUUGAAAAGCGCCCUCAGAGGGAGACUGCCUCAAGCUUCCAGGAGCAAAUUAGCACCAUUGGCUUCCUGGCGGGUGAGGACCUGCCACUGGAGCUGUGAGAAAGUGAGGAGGUGGGGUGAGGGGUCCCCGGCAUUACUACCACGCUGCAAGCUUCCAACAACACACAGAGCAUUUGUGUCUUCUCGGGCCACAGAACACCGAAAAGCACAGCUCUGGCAUUGAAAUCCCAACACUUGGAUGGCUGAGGCGGGAGGAUCAACGAGUGCCAAGCCAGCCUGGGCUCCAGAGUGAGACCUCGUCUUAAAAGGAUAAAAUAUUACAAAUUAGAAUGACGAUUUUCUUUAGCCUAGCCUUUAAAGUUUUAUCAGUAUAAGUCCAUCAUAAUGCAAAUCUUUAAUCCCAGCACUAGGGGUGCACAGACAGGUGGAGCUCUGUGAACCUGAGACAUCCUGGUCUAUGUCGCAAGUUCCAGGACAGCCAGGGCUAUGUAGUAAGACCCUGUCUCAAAACGGAAAAAAGAGGGGGUUGGGGAUUUAGCUCAGUGGUAGAGCGCUUGCCUAGGAAGCGCAAGGCCCUGGGUUCGGUCCCCAGCUGGGGGGGGGCAAAAAAACCCCCAAAACUGGAUAUUAGUAUAUUUUGUUUGGUUUGGGUGUAUGCACAUUCCUGUGGACAUUUGUGGGUAUGUGUGUGAACAUGUGUGGAAGCCAGAGGUUGACUUCAAGUGUGCCCCUUACCCUGUCCACCUGUGUCUUGAGAUAGAGUCUCUUACGGGCCUUGAACUCACCAAGCAGGUUGGGUAAGUCUGAGUUCCAUACAUGCUGGAAAUCACAGCAUGUCAUUUUUUUCCCCCUGAAUUCAAAUUUUGAGUCAGGAUUCCCUGUGAAGAUCCAUGAUUAGUAUCCCUUAGCCUUCACUGCAGAAGAAGAGUCCAUCGUCACAGCCGGUGGGGGCUGUGCAGUUUGACGGUAAGGAUUCCUUUUGUUAAGAUACACAUCACACAUUAAAGGUUUGUCAAAGGCUUACACGGGCAGGAGAUAUAUUACAUUCAAGACUCUUGCAAUCCAUUUGACUCUAAAGACAAGAUUUGUCGCCAUUCAAGUGUCCCGUGUCCGCGCAGUUCAUGUCAAACUCGCCAUUUAAAGUUUGUCAAAGGCUUGCAGGGCAAGAGUUACAUUACAUGCAAGAGAGACAUAAAUGCAACGUCAUGCCAGAGUGGUCCCCCAGGCAGUGGACCUCAGAAACCUGUAAGUGCUCCAAGUGCUCCCCACACCGUCCUCCCACUGUCAGACAAGCAGCUAGAAGCUUGCCCAGCUGGUGGGCGUGUCAUGGUGAUUGACCAAAUAUCCAUCCUGCUCUCCCUGAUGUAACCCUGGAACUGAUGACCAGGGGCCGGGCUUAUGACCACCUGUAUUUUCUUGUCUGUGAAAUGAAUGUCUUUUACAGAUAUCUGUCCAUUUUCUAGCUGAGCUCUCUUGAUCAGUUUGCUAGAUUUCUUUCUGGAUUCUGAAAGAAUAUUCACCUCAGAUGACAGAGAGAACAGUGACAAUGACUUCCUAACAUACCGUGUAGACUGUGUUUUGUUCAUUUUGACUUUUCAUUUAGGAGGAUUUGAUAGCCUAAGCUGGCCAUGAAAAGCAUGAUCCUUCUGUCUCAGUUUCUCCAUUCUGAGAACACAAGCCUGUGCCACCACGGUUAGCACAGGACUUAUUAACUUAAUUAUUUAUGCACUGGUAAUUGAGUGACACCCCAGCCCCUCCCUGGGGGAUUCUAGGCAGGGGCUCUACCACUGAGCCACGCCCCCAGCCCCUCACUGGGGGAUUCUAGGCAGGGGCUCUACCACUGAGCCACGCCCCCAGCCCCUCACUGGGGGAAUUCUAGGCAGGGGCUCUACCACUGAGCCACACCCCAGCCCCUCACUGGGGGAUUCUAGGCAGGGGCUCUACCACUGAGCCACACCCCCAGCCCCUCACUGGGGGAUUCUAGGCAGGGGCUCUACCACUGAGCCACGCCCCCAGCCCCUCACUGGGGGAUUCUAGGCAGGGGCUCUCCCACUGAGCCACGCCCCCAGCCCCUCACUGGGGGAUUCUAGGCAGGGGCUCUCCCACUGAGCCACGCCCCCAGCCCCUCACUGGGGGAUUCUAGGCAGGGGCUCUACCACUGAGCCACACCCCAGCCCCUCACUGGGAGAUUCUAGUCAGGGGCUCUACCAUUGAGACACAAAUUUUCACUUUUUAUUUUGAGACAGGAUUUCACUAUUGGCCCAGGUUACCCCUGUGUUCACUCUGUAGCCCAAGCAGUCCCUGAAGCUCUGACUCUUCUGCAUCUGUCUCUCAAAUCUAGGCUUACAGGUCUGUUCUCUAGACUCAGCAUGUGGUAUAUUUUUAAGAGCAGAAAUUCCUCAUUUUUGAGCAAUGAUAUUUAUUAGUUUAUAAUUGUGUGGGUGGAAAGGAAUUCUCCUCUGUCACCACAUUAUUAGUGUAUUUUCAAACAUGUUAACUUAAUAUAUAAAAUAGAUCACCGUAUCAUAUGGUGCACAGUUUUCUUUCCAUGCAUUUUAUGGUUCAGAGACUCAUCUACCUAGGACUUACCUUCAGUUUUGAAUGACUGACUUUAUUAAUGGACAAAGUAGAAGAAUGCAAAGUAAACAGUAGAUAAUGAGUGGAUGGAGAGAGAGACAGAGAGAUAGAGAGACAGAGAUAAAGAGGUGAGAGACAGAGAAACAGAGAGACAGACACCAAAACAGAGAGGCACAGAGAGACAGACAGAGACACACAGGCAGAGAGACACAAAAUAGACACAUAGACACACAGACAGAAAGAGAGACACAGAGACAGACACAGUGACAGAGAGACAGACAGACAGAAACACAGACAGACAGAGAGACACGAAAUAGACACACAGAGACACAGAGACAGAGAGACACAGAGACAGAAAGACAGACACAAAGAUAAACACAGAGACAGAUACACAGAGACAGACACAGUGACAGAGAUGCAGACAGACACAGAGAGACAGACAGAGAGACACACAGACAGAAACAAAAUAGACACACAGAGACAGAGAGACACAGAGACAGACACAGUGACAGAGACACAGAGACAGAGAAGCAGAGAAACAGAGACAAAGAGACAUACAGAAAAACACACAGACAGACACACAGAGGGACAGAGAAACAGACAAACAUGUGGGCACACACACACACACGCAGAGAGAGAGAGAGAGAGAGAGAGAGAGAGAGAGAGAGAGAGAGAGAGAGAGUCAAACCAAGGGAGGUAGAAACACAGCUGGAGAAGUUGAGGCAGCCAGCUGGAACCAUAACUGAGCUUCCCUUCCAUGGUUGAGCUUCUGGUUUCUCUUCCCCACCUCACAAGGUAAACAGUGACCUCUGGAAAUAGUCCACCAUCCGGCUGUUUUCAAGGACAUGCUGUUCUUUCUCUCAGGCCGUCUUGCCAUUUUCUUCCCUGCCAGUCACAGAGCUAGGGGGCCAUCCCACCCUCAUGCAGACUGUGGAGAACACUGGGAAACAAACAUGGGUCAAUUUGAAAUGGUGUGGAUGGACCCGUCUCAGAGCUUGCUUGCCAGUGAACUCAAAGAGCACACGGCAUUCACCAGUACAAUGGACCAUGUAAGUCUAGGCUCAGCCUGGAUGGGUUAGACGUGUGAUGGAGCAAGGGGACUCAAGUUCAAAGUUCAAAACAGUGUUUUGCAUUUAGAUGCCUGGUUGGUGGAGGGCCCGCUGCCUUUUUCUGUUGGUUUGUUCUACGUCAUCCAAAGGUAGAUGACAGGUGCAUCUCUACGUGCUUCGUCUGCUCUGUGGGUGCGUGGGGACAGUAGCCUGAACUCGUGUUGAUUCUAUGCGGUGCCAGUUGCCCAAGCUCUACAACUGGAUAUCCAUACAGAUCCCACUGAACCUGUUCUCCCAGUUUUGAGCGAUUCUCGCGCGUGCACAUCUUCAAAGCUUGUCAAGAUCUACAAAGAGAAUCUCAUUGAACCUGUAGAUCUAUCUGGAAGAGAUCAAUUAAAAAAAUACAUAUUC